rnacentral:rRNA from 3 species
AUCCAAAAGACUCUCGGCAACGGAUAUCUCGGCUCUUGCAUCGAUGAAGAACG